AAGGAUCAUUACCGAGUGCGGGCCCUCUGGGUCCAACCUCCCAUCCGUGUCUAUCUGUACCCUGUUGCUUCGGCGUGGCCACGGCCCGCCGGAGACUAACAUUUGAACGCUGUCUGAAGUUUGCAGUCUGAGUUUUUAGUUAAACAAUCGUUAAAACUUUCAACAACGGAUCUCUUGGUUCCGGCAUCGAUGAAGAACGCAGCGAAAUGCGAUAAUUAAUGUGAAUUGCAGAAUUCAGUGAAUCAUCGAGUCUUUGAACGCACAUUGCGCCCCCUGGUAUUCCGGGGGGCAUGCCUGUCCGAGCGUCAUUGCUGCCCUCAAGCACGGCUUGUGUGUUGGGCUUCCGUCCCUGGCAACGGGGACGGGCCCAAAAGGCAGUGGCGGCACCAUGUCUGGUCCUCGAGCGUAUGGGGCUUUGUCACCCGCUCCCGUAGGUCCAGCUGGCAGCUAGCCUCGCAACCAAUCUUUUUAACCAGGUUGACCUCGGAUCAGGUAGGGAUACCCGCUGAACUUAAGCAUAUCAAUAAGCGGAGGAA
rnacentral:misc_RNA from 2 species